AGCGCAACAUCUAAUUGGUGCACGUGUAUUUAGCCACAAAGAAUGACCGAUUUCUUUUGGGAUAUAUCUCGUUUGGUGUGGAAAAGAAGCAGGAGAGAAAGUGCUUCGUAAGCCCCAUGUGUUUCUGGGUGAGCGGGAAGCAUCAGAAGAAGGAACGAGUCUGUAAUAUCCGGUGAGAGUAUGUGCCAGAGUGGUGGUAAAAAAUCAGUAGGUGGCGAUAAUGCACCUUUUCGUAGGUCUGCCAAACCGCCAUAAAACACCACAAGAAGAAGAAGAAGAAGAAGAGGAGGAUGGGGUGGAAAGGAGUGGGCGAUAUUUCUCUGAAGGUACUGUUGGGAUAUCAGUAGGUGGCGGUAAUGCAUCUUUCGUUGGUCUGCCAAACCGUCUGAAAGAAUUUAGCUGUGAGUCCAAACAGACCAAGAUGGGGGCGUGUCGCUUCAGAUUUUGGGAUUCGGUAGAAAUUUCUUCACUAACUGCAAGUUGAUUCACUCAGAACAAGCUUGCACACCGAUAAACAUUACUAGAUAUCGGUCACAACAACAGAGAGGGACUUUCAACUCCCUCGGGAAAUCGCUCGAACACCGUGGACCGCUGAUCCAGCUCGGCCAGCAGCGAGACCCCUGCGCCAGCGCCUAGACCGUAAACAAAGGAGGGGGAAGCGAGGGAGCAUUAUGGCUAGACUAAGGCUUAAUCCACAUCAACAAUCUCUCCCAAGCAUAUUCCUUGCUAAUGUACGGUCUCUGGUGAACUAAAUGGAUGAACUGCUGCUCCGGAUAACAUCACACAAGCGGAUUAAGGAAUGUAAUGUCAUGAUUUUUAUUGAUUUUCGGGGAUCGCAGUGUUUUCCGGGCGGACAGGACGGCAGGGGUGGAGGUCUGUGUAUUUACGUUAACAAAUCAAAAACGCUUUUGCGAAUUUCUGGCCGGAACUCGUCAGGGAGCUGCUGCAGGUUUUACUGAAAUGAUUGGUGGAACCCAUUUGCUCAUGGUGAACUCUAUUAUGUGCAAAAAACUGUUGAACUGGAACAUUGGAUUGGGUUGGAACAUGGAAGGCAGUGGAUUCCCCACCCAGUGAAACCCUUCACAAAAGUCCACCAUGUGACUGCAUCAGGCCAAAAGUCCAAAAUCUCUAUUCCUCCAUUCCUGACUGAGAAGUGACAUAAUAUUACUAAAUAGAUUUGGGCAAUGACUGCUAAUAAAAACACAAAUAAUUAACUUCAAAUGAGUUUUUUUUAAAUAACAAAUACAGUUUCAUUUAGUAAAAAUGUAACAAAAAAACUCCAUGACGAAUCCCCCUAAAAACAAAUUUAAAUAUAGUAAUCAAAUUUUUUCCCUCAGUAUGUGGACAGCAGCAGAGUCACUGCACUACAACAUACUUACAUUUCUGUAGAUUAGUUUUCAGAAAUAUUCAUUCUUUUUACGAAAUCUGUUAUUUUCUCUAUAAGAAAACACACAUUUCAUAAGAAACCAUACUGAUAGCAAAUAUCAUAUAUAAAAUUUACUACUUUUCACACAGGUUUAAACUCGUGAAAUUUCUAAUUUGUGUUUGUGAAAUAUAUAUAUAUAUAUAUAAUUUUCGCAUUAAUGUUCAAAAACUAUUAUCCAAUUAUGGAACUGAUAAUUAUGAUGCAAAACGAGUAUGAAAUUUGAUCCAGAAAUGUAAAAAUAGACACAUUAGAAGAUUAAGAGCUUUAAUUAUAUGAUAUGCAGACAAUUAAGUUUCAUUCUGUUGUACUGAACCUGUUUUUUUUUUUUUUUUUUCCUUCUUCUUAUGUACAAUGUGCCUCGAUCAUUAGAAUAGUGCUUACAAUUAUUUUUUAUUUAAUUUUUUAUUUUUGGUGAAGCUACAAAAAAAUGUAUUACCUCUGGUUUGACCUCCAGCAACUCCAGAGCGAAAUGUACGCAGUUGUAUUUAAGGAGAUCAUACUUUUUAUUUCUCCUCAGUGCUGCACUCACUCGUUCUUGGAAAUCAUGGGGGAUCCCCGCUACUUUUCGAAAAACGAUGUAUUUGUCGCCUUCAUAGAACACGUUUUUUUUUUCUCUCGACACGCCUCCUAUACCUGAAGGGGAGCGGGAGGAUGUGUUGUUCUGCUGGAAAAAAAAAAAAAAAGAUAUGGUAUUUAAUGUUAUAUAGUAUUAUAAAUAGUUGUUUGUUUUUCUAUGUUUAUUGUGAUGCUACAGGAAUGAAGGGGGCUGAGAUAGACAGAAGCAUUUGUCAGAGUUGUUGAAUAGACAGAGUAGUUGUCAUUUAUAUUAAACAUUACAUGAAGAGUUAGGGAUUUACGUGUAAAAUGGAUGAUGUUCUGGUCCACAUCAGAAAAAUAAACACCAGCAUGAUAUCCAGUGGCUGACACCACGCAUUGGCUGUGUCUUGGGACCAGGAUCAGGUCUCCAAUUUUAAGUUGUUCUUUCAGUUCCUGAUCCUCUUGUUUGAUGACUUUAAACCCUUCAGGUGUUUUUCCAAGGCCGAUCCUAAUCGUGCUCUACAAAAGAAUUUACCCAACACAGGGAAUAUUGUCAGCUAAAAGUGUAAAACUGUGACUAAGGGUUGUGCAUUAACACAAACAUUCAUAAUAUGUCUAAUCAUGUCUACUUAUUUCUUUUAAUGUAUUUUAUUUUAAUACAUAUUUAUUUAAACAAAUCCUGCUUUAGAUACGUAAACAACUACAGCAAUAAAAUGUUAAAUUGUAUAAAUAAUAAAAUCUAUAAUGUAGCAUUCUGUACUAUCUUCUUAACAUCAAUAAAACAAAGUACAUUUUCAUACUGAA